AGCAGCCGCGGUAAUUCCAGCUCCAAUAGCGUAUAUUAAAGUUGUUGCAGUUAAAAAGCUCGUAGUUGAAUUUCGAGACCGGCUUACUGGUCGUGCUAUUGUGCGUACUGGUAUAAUCGGUUUCUCCUUUCUGACGAACUAUAAUGCCAUUAAUUUGGUGUUAUAGGGAAUCAGGACUGUUACUUUGAAAAAAUUAGAGUGUUUAAAGCAGGCUCACGCUUGAAUACAUUAGCAUGGAAUAACGGAAUAGGACGUUUGAUUCUAUUUUGUUGGUUUCUAGGAUCGACGUAAUGAUUAAUAGGGAUAGUUGGGGGCAUUAGUAUUCAAUUGUCAGAGGUGAAAUUCUUGGAUUUAUUGAAGACUAACUACUGCGAAAGCAUUUGCCAAGGAUGUUUUCAUUAAUCAAGAACGAAAGUUAGGGGAUCGAAGACGAUCAGAUACCGUCGUAGUCUUAACCAUAAACUAUGCCGACUAGGAAUCAGACGAUGUU
rnacentral:misc_RNA from 1 species